AUAAGAUCAAUCAAUAAUCAAUAUACUAGUAUAAGAAUCAAGUAAAAGGUAUUAGGAUGUGGCAUCUCAAAACGUUACACAGGACUGAACAAAUGAUAAUUGACACAUCAAACAUUUAUUUCAGUUGCUGCUAACUUUUCUGCUUUGUUUGUCAAAACACCUCUGGAAAUUUUGUAGCUCCUUUCGCAGGAUUCCCAGUGGUUUCUGUUAUGCUCAUUGCAACACUCAUGGUCACAGCCAUCAUGCUUUUCAUAUGGGAAACAAAGAUUUGGUGGAUUGUACUGUUCUUCUCUGUGUACACUAUUAUAGAGAUCGUGUAUAUAUCUUCACUUCUGUACAACUUUGUAGAUGCUGGUUUUCUACCACUGGCCUCAUUUUUCAUGAUGCACAUAAUGGGUAUCUGGCACUAUAUACACAAAAAGAUACAAGUUUGAGCUCAAAAACAAAGUAUCAAGUGAUUACACAGCAGAAUUGGUCUUGAAACAAGAUGUAAGAAGGAUACCUAGAAUUGGUCUCCUAUACUCAGAACUUGUGCAAGGCAUUGCACCUAUAUUUUCCCACUUUGUUGAGAAAAUACCCCCAUCCAUUCUGUCCUCAUGUUUGUGUCAGCGAAACACUGGCCAAUAAGUGAAGUGGAAAUGCAGGAACACUGUCUUUUCAGACAGGCUGGGCCAAGAGACUGUAGAAUGUUCCAAUGUGUGGUACGCUAUAGAUAUAAAGAUGUUUUUGAAGAGGCCAAGGAAUUCGGAAAUUUGCUCAUUCAGCAACUGAAACAAUUUGUCCACCACAAGUACUUUUUGAAAGUGGGCCUGCUAGGCAAAGUGAUCCUCUGCACGAGGCAGCAAACCUUGCAAGCUCUGCAUUUGAAACAAAUGACACCAAGCAAUGAAGAUCAGGAUUGUCCACCAGUGCCCACCGAAGAAACACUGAAACCAUGAAAUUCACCUAAUUUCUCUUCAAGAUCUAUUCAUUAUAGGACAAUCAAUGCUCAACAAACUCUUCAGGCAAAAUUGCUGUUGGUCAAACCCAGUCGGCUGAAAAUGAGAAACAGUUCAUUCACAAAGAUCUGAAGAAUGGGGUGAUGUAUCUAACGGAGAAACUGAAGUGGUGGCAGAGAACAAUUCCUUUAUUAUCAAUAAAGUAGUUAUUAACAUCUGCAAUUUCAUGAGGAGAGACUUCAGGCAGGAAGAAAAGGUUUUAUCAAUUCUGCAGGGCAAGCUGCACAAGUUGGGGAAUAACAUAUGAAACUAGGUUCUGUCCUAAUGAGAUUCAUAAUCACUAUAUCAUCCAAAUAAUAGUCUACUUGUAAUCCACAACAAGGUUAUCAUCAUGGAGAGGUGAUGAUGGAUUGGCUGGACAAUCUAAAGCUCAAGUAAGAAUAAAUGACCAUAAUCCAUGGGACAAGAAGUCAAGCACAUAAUGCAAUAUGAUUCUCUUAUUCUAGACCAUAAAUUCUCGAAUGUGCCCAUAUUUGCUUUAUAAGAGGGGGCAGACAUUCUAAUAUGCUUGAGAAUAUCUUAGAUCAAUAUUUUCUCUUUAGCUUUCCUUUUAAUUCAUCUACCAUUUGUCCCGAUGAUGAAAGAAAAGAUAUUACUAUGUCUCCCUCUGCUAAUAAAAACCUACCACAUUUAUUAGUAAGAACUUCUUAAAUGAGAAAUAUCUUUCUCACCUAUGUUUGCAAUUUCAUUUGACUGAACCAAAAUUUUGAAACUACUGCUUUCUUUUUUUUCUUUUGCCGGGUGGUGGGGGGGCAUGCAACUUGUGUUCAUGAUAUAAACACAAGUUCAUAAGCCUUACCAAUUCCUUUCAAAUUUUUUUUUGUAUAUUUUAAUCAGAAAAAAGGGUCUACGAAGCUCGAGGCCCGACCCAAGAUAUGUAAGUACCCGGCUCGGCGCCUGACUAAUUUCACUUUUAUCUUUCGUUGAGCCCUGCCCGAACCUGGCAUGGCCUGCCCAUUGAACAGGUCCAAUAUGCCCCAAAACCAACUAACGGUUUACCAAUAUCGGUAAGCUUUUCACCGAAACACUUCACAUCUUUUUGCUCCUAAAAUGCUGUGCAACUCAUUUUGAUCAGCUCCUGCAUGGGCAAUUAGCUUUCCAUUCACCAAGUAAUAAUGCAUGAGAAAAAUAUCGACCAAAGCAACAAAAGCAAAGCAGCAGGUAUUUCUGCUAUUGAUCUUGGCAAUUAUAAAGUUUUAGGCUUAUACUAUUUCCAUCUACAUUUCUCUAAGCACCUCAACUGGUUCUAUAAACGACCGAAAUGGGUAUACGCUACAUCAGUUCUACUCAAACAAGCCAUAAUCCUUCCAAAGCAUUACAUCAAACGGUUUACAAGCAUUGCGUUCCCAAACUUAAGAGGAAACCCUUGUGGAAAUACAGGAAGAAAAAAGAAAUCACUGCGAUGGAAAAAAAAAAAUCCUCGAUGAAUUAUUAAAAAAGCUUCAGAAUCAGGGAUUUACCUUUCGAUAUGCGCAUCGGAUCGUAAAGAGAGAUCGCUCGCUCGAAGAAAAACCUGUGGCGGUAUGGAUGAGCCCAUCUGCGUCUACAGGUGCUACCGACCUAUCGCGCAGUACCGGAUCCGGUUUCUACUAAGUUUGGACCCGGAUUCACCGAGAACUCCCUUUCUUUAUUUUUUUUCCCCUUUUUGGGGUUGUGGUGGGGGAUCGAGGACACACCAAACUCUUUAUGCACCACGGACGGUGCACGAAACCU
rnacentral:lncRNA from 1 species